UUACGGCCAUAUUAUUGUUGGAACACCGGUUCUCGUACAAUCACCAAAGUUAAGCAACGUCGAGUCUGGUUACUACCUUGAUGGGCGACUACUAGGAAUACCAGGU